rnacentral:rRNA from 1 species
GACGAACGCUGGCGGCGUGCUUAACACAUGCAAGUCGAACGCUGAAGCUCAGCUUUUGUUGGGUGGAUGAGUGGCGAACGGGUGAGUAACACGUGAGUAACCUGCCUCCUUCUUUGGGAUAACGCCCGGAAACGGGUGCUAAUACUGGAUAUUCACUGGUCUUCGCAUGGGGGUUGGUGGAAAGGGUUUUUCUGGUGGGGGAUGGGCUAGCGGCCUAUCAGCUUGUUGGUGGGGUGAUGGCCUACCCAUGCUUUGACGGGUAGCCGGCCUGAGAGGGUGACCGGGCACAUGGGGACUGAGAUACGGCCCAGGCGCGGACGGGAGGGAGCAGUGGGGAAUAUUGCACAAUGGGCGAAAGCGUGAUGCAGCGACGCCGCGGGAGGGAUGGAGGCCUUCGGGUUGUGAACCUCUUUCGCUCAUGGUCAAGCCGCAACAAUGGUUGUGGUGAGGGUAGUGGGUAAAGAAGCGCCGGCUAACUACGUG